AGGGUCUGUUAAGGGAUCUAUGCUGUUGUAGUUAGUGAGAAGUGGUCCUGACAGGAGUGGAGUAAGUGGGUGCAAGUUUCUGUUAAUAGAUAAUCCCCCAGCAUUGAGAAAUGCAGCUCCAAGCCUCUCACUUCCACUAUCAGGACUUGAUUUUUCUAUCAUCUUCCCACGGUCGACUCUGUUGAUAGUGCUUUUGUUUUCAUUCUCAUCAUUCUCAACUUUUUCUUUCUUUUUAGCAACCUUCUCUACUAAACUCUUGUAUGCUGCAGACUGUGACAAAAUGCUCACAGCAGAUAAUGUUGAGCUUUUAUGAUUCUUAUUUUCUUGGUACACACCCAAACGGGGCAUCUCAUAUGGUUCAGUCUGCUGAAUUGAUAAUUCUGAAGCCCUAAGCUCAUUAUCAAUAUCUUCAGGACAACCAACCUUUGUUUCCUCCGAUAUUUUCAGAUGCGAAUCUGUUUGACGAGCUUUAUUACCUCCCCACCACUUGAUGUAACUUGACAAGUCAAUCUUUCUAUCCAUGCAGAAACCACCGAUGUACUCAUUGUCCACUGUGGCGUUAUCACCAUAGUGCAGGCUGUUAAAG
rnacentral:misc_RNA from 1 species